rnacentral:lncRNA from 1 species
UUGAUCUUCAUGAUGUCUAGAUAUAGCUCAUUGCUUAUUGCUUAUUGUUUGAUUAAAGUCCAAAGGGAAAUGAGUUUCUAUAUGACAUUCUUGUCUGUUGGAUUGCAUCCCAUUGGUCAGAUCUUUUCAACUCUUAAACUUUUAAUUUUUGCUUAAGGUAGCCUCUUCAUCUCCUCCCACUUCUUUAAUUUCAAAAUCCCUCCCUCCUUUCAAAAACUUUCUUUGCUUGUAAUUUCAAACUUAGACAUGUUUUAAU